GGAGCCGGCCAGACAACCGCUGCCGCGAGCGAUCGCGGGGGAGGAAAGUCCGGGCUCCGCAGGGCAGUGUGCCAGCUAACGGCUGGGCGGCGCGAGCCGACGGAAAGUGCAACAGAGAAUAGACCGCCUAAGUUCCCAACCGGAACCGGCAAGGGUGAAACGGUGCGGUAAGAGCGCACCGCGUUUCCGGCAACGGAAACGGCACGGCAAACCCCACACGGAGCAAGGCCAAAUAGGGAAGGAGGGUACGCUGCUGACGAUGCGCGACCCGACGCGCGGCCCGCGCGCCUUCCGGGUAGGCCGCUGGAGGCGGCGGGCGACCGCCGUCCUAGAGGAAUGGUUGUCUCGGCGCCGCGGGCCUCGAAAGCCCGCUGGCCGCUAGACAGAACCCGGCUUAUCGGCCGACUCCCGCU
rnacentral:RNase_P_RNA from 1 species